rnacentral:rRNA from 1 species
AGAUUGAACGCUGGCGGCAUGCCUUACACAUGCAAGUCGAACGGCAGCACGGGAGCAAUCCUGGUGGCGAGUGGCGAACGGGUGAGUAAUAUAUCGGAACGUGCCCAGUCGUGGGGGGAUAACGCAGCGAAAGCUGUGCUAGUACCGCAUACGAUCUAUGGAUGAAAGCGGGGGAUCGCAAGACCUCGCGCGAUUGGAGCGGCCGAUAUCAGAUUAGCUAGUUGGUGGGUAAAAGCCUACAAGGCGACGAUCUGUAGCUGGUCUGAGAGGACGACCAGCCACACUGGAACUGAGACACGGUCCAGACUCCUACGGGAGCAGCAGUGGGGAAUUUUGGACAAGUGGGCGCAAGCCUGACUCCGAGCAAUCGCCGCGUGCAGGAUGAAGGUCCGUU